rnacentral:rRNA from 1 species
UACGAGGGGGGCAAAUGUUGUUCGGAAUCACUGGGCGUAAAGGGAGCGUAGGCGGGCUCUUAAGUUAGGUGUUUAAUCCCGGGGCCCAACCCCGGUCGUGCACUUAAAACUGGGAGUCUUGAAUAGUGGAGAGGUCAGUGGAAUUGGGGGUGUAGCGGUGGAAUGCGUAGAGAUCCCCAAGAACACCAGUUGCGAAGGCGGCUGACUGGACACAUAUUGACGCUGAGGCUCGAAAGCAUGGGGAGCAAACGGG